GUGCAUAAGACAUGGGAAGAACAAGUCUCAACUGCAAAUGACUCUGAAAUGGGCUAAAAUUCAGCCCAUUAAAAAUUCUGUUCGGGAGACCUUUUCAGCCAUCUGUAUUAUCUACUUUGUCUCCUUACUUUAAAUCUUGAAAAAAUGUUCAAAUAAUUAAUAAAUAGUGUGUAGAAAUUUCCUUUUUCUAGGUCCAGAUUUCCAUCAGACAAAGCUCUGUAGGUAUUUACUUCUGGGAUAGAGUGCUACUCAAAACCUGGAAAGAACAAGAAUCUGGCCACCCAUGAGUGAGAGGUGGACUGGUCCUUAUGCAUGGGAGCUCCACCACAACAACAGAGAACUUCUUCUCCAUAAAAAGGAUGAGUAACUUUGAGCUUUUGCUUCCUACUCUCAUGCAUCUCCUCCAUACUAAAUAGCAUUGUUAAAAUGGGGCUCUCUAUUAUUUAUGCCAGACAGGAAAAAAAAUAACAACAAAGGUUAUUUGAUAUCUUUGAUAAAAAUCCAAAGAACUGUUUUUGCAGUGCUUAUAGGCUAUGAUAUUUCAAUUUAAAUUUUGUUUCUUACAAUUUGGCUGAAUUUGGAAAUUGGAUGAAGGGGUCUGCUAGUUAGUACCACAUGACUAGCAGAGAGCAUUGAAGGUUUAACAGGAGCCUCUGCUAACAUGGGAAACAAAUUCGAGGAAGGAAAAAUUGGUAAGAAAUCAACAUUUUAUACUAUGUUUAAUAACUGUGGUGUCUCCACUUGCAAGUAUUUAACCUGUACACUAAGCUAGGGACUUUGAGUAAAAAGACAAAAGGAAGUAGAAAUAUUUAUAGUAUCAGCUGAUGUCAGAUUAGCUAUCUGGCUAAAAUUACAAGCCUGUCCUUUAGGGAAAAUUUGUUUGAAGAGUACUUAUUUGGUCUAUCCUCAUCCCAGCCCUCCAUUUUUUUAAAACACAAAUAUACCUUAAACAGUUACUGGAAUUCAAGUCCUAUCAGGUCAGGUGGUUCCAUUCCAUUUCCCCCUGCAACGCCCCCUCUCAGCAGGAAGUAGUCAGAUAUGAGACGUCGACCCCAAUCCCCUAAGACUAUGGAAUGGACAUCUGACACUAGGAAUUGAAACCCAGAACUAAGGAUAGUUUUUUUCAUUACUGGGAGUUCAUAAUUGCUCAUUACAGAGAAUUUGGCAAUAGUUAAGACUGCGGCCACAUCUACCCUGUAGCCUGCUUAUUUUGUAAUAUGUAACUAGUCAGUGACAAGAUAGCUCAGGAAAAUUAUAAUCUUUAUUUUUGAGAUUUAUAGAAUUGAAAAAUCUCUCAUGACUAGGUGAUUAGGAUCAGCUUCUGUGAGAAGGUACCCAUCAGCUACCUCUAUAAGCUACUCUUAAAUCAUCUUCUAGAAAAGAAAGGCCUUGUGACAAGAGCCCCUCUAACUUCUCUCCGAGCUGGCUUUUGGAACAGACUUGUUCCUUAACACCUUGUCUCUCAACUCAACUGGCCUGUCAUGGGGCAGGUAGUCCACUAGCAACAAUUCCAUAGACUGUGCUCAUUUCUUAUAAUGAAAAAUGAAACAUUUAUCUUUUUCUUUCUGACUUGCCUUUCCAAAAUUCUUACUGAUUUUUCUUUUUUUCUGGCAAUACAUUGAUUUGCGUAGAUUUGCAUAGACAGUCUGUCCUCCUUGUUAACAGGACAGCAUUAGAAACAAUGGUAAGACAAUCAAAGUCUUGCCUGGGAUAUCUGUAGAAGGAGGAUGCUUAUUUAGUCAGAUAUGACCAGACACUUUCCAAAAUAAGGCUGAUUUAUGGAGCCAGUGCUUACAAGCUCCUCUUGGAAAAACUGUCCUGACACCUGGCUGCACAGGGUGCCCAGACUCACAGGGGAGUCAGGAGGUGACUUCCAGGAAUCUUAGGCUACCUGGGGGACCUCAAGAAGAAGGAAGGUCCUGCCAGUCAAUAGGUUCUGCAGGUGAAUGUGAUAGGGAGCUCUGGGUUUGGCUUCUCACCCUCAAGAGGCUUUGCAAAGUGCAUUUGAGAUUCUUCCUGAAAACUUCCAGCAGAGCAAAUGGAAGAAGAUCUACAUGUAAAUCGCCGUUCUUGCUGCAUCUCUGUGAAGAGCCAGGGCAGAUGUCAUGAGACCAGCUCUCUUGGGUGAUCAAGAAUAAUCUUUCCUUAAGAUUGUCUUUGAUCAGAAGUGGGGAGAGACUGUAGAAGGAAAUUUUGUCUUUCAGUGGGGAACUCUAGCACUGGCUCCAUAAAUCAGCCUUAUUUUGGAAAGUGUCUGGUCAUAUCUGACUAAAUAAGCAUCCUCCUUCUACAGAUAUCCCAG
rnacentral:lncRNA from 1 species